UACGUAGGGUGCAAGCGUUAAUCGGAAUUACUGGGCGUAAAGCGUGCGCAGGCGGUUUUGUAAGUCUGUCGUGAAAGCCCCGGGCUCAACCUGGGAAUUGCGAUGGAGACUGCAAGGCUGGAGUACGGCAGAGGGGGAUGGAAUUCCGCGUGUAGCAGUGAAAUGCGUAGAUAUGCGGAGGAACACCGAUGGCGAAGGCAAUCCCCUGGGCCUGUACUGACGCUCAUGCACGAAAGCGUGGGGAGCAAACAGG
rnacentral:rRNA from 1 species